AUGAGCACUUGGGACGACACCAACUCCAACAUCAUGUUCUCAGCGCCCGACAGCAAGAAGGCCGAGGUGCUCAGCGACAGCGAUGUCGGCAUGGUCACCAGCUUCUGCAACAUCGACUCCCAGAUUCAGUUAGCCCUCUCGAGCUGGACAUGCCCAGCAUGGAUGACUACAUUCAGCUGCAGCAGGACUCCGCCGACUACAGAGUCCAUGCCAAGCGUGGCUGCACCACUGACCCGCAGAGCAUCGCUUGGGAGGGAAAGAACAACAAGGAUCAAUAAGAGGUUAAGGAGGUUGCAAAGACCUCAUUCCCUACAUGGACAAGGUCACAAGUUUAUUCUACCAUGGAUUCCCUCUGGCCAAUACACAUUCAGGAAAUAUGUGACCAACUUCCCCAAGGUCCCGCAUCGUCUACUCAGUUGA
rnacentral:rRNA from 1 species